UUCUGCUCUUCUCCGCCCUCGACUGACUUUCUCCUCCAUCUCUACCCUCGUCUAUGCCGCCGAGCUGCCUGAUUCCUGUUUCUCUUCUUCUCCUCCGUCGCCCGAGCUGCCUGAUUCCUGUUUCUCUUCUUCUCCUCCGUCGCCCGAGCUGCCCUAGCCCUCGCCCUGUAACCCCUUCUUGUCUUCCUUGCCCCUCACGCUUCUUCACCCUCCUUCAACCUCUCGCCUCCUUCAAAUGUGCAGUGGAUUGAAGCUGCCCCUCGCCUGCCAAUCAAGCAAUCUGCCCAUUUCACAGGCAGACCAACCGUAGCUUCCGUUGCAGCCCAGCAGCUCCUCAGCUUCCUCUUCUCCUCUCCUUAGCAGGAACGACAGCUCUCUGCAGCAGUGACUCAUCCGACUCAUUUCCGGCAUUCCUGAAGAGCAUCUCUGGAGAAGGGUUAUCAUUUAUUCACCUGCUCGCACUGCAACUCAGCAAGGUUCAUGAAAAGUUGGAAGGUAGAAAAUCAACUUCUUGUCAACGCAAAAGGGUGAUACUACAUACAGUAGUCUAGAGUGCAGGCAGCAGCAGAUGAACAUCGAUGAGAAGAAGGAGAAGUGCUCAAUGACAUCCAUGAAGAAGGAGGCAGCUCCUGCUGGGUCUGAGCCCUCCUGGAAAGGAGAAACAGUUGCUGCAGCAUGAUGAUGUUGAUGAUGAUCCACAUUGUGUUCUAUGGAAUCUUAAAUGAUGAUGAUGAUGACACAUCGUUUUGCUGCCAUUUCGGAUGUUCUACCUUAUAAAUAUGUCCUGUAUUUUUAUAAUUUUAGCAAGGGCAGCACUAGUUCUGGGGUUAAAGUGAAGUUAGGACCUUGUUUUUAGAAAAAAAAAAGUUGCGGAAAUGAAGAUUAUUGACUCCUUGUAUGAUUGGCUUGGGUGCAGCAAGAAUUUUCCUUAGAUGGGUAUCCAAUGUUCGCA